UUAUUGAAAUUUUGAAAUAUAAUUGGGGGACGGGAAAAACAACGAGCAGCAGUAAGAAGAGAAGAAAAAACACAUAAAUCAAUCAAGUGGAAGGGGUAACAUAAAUUACAAUUACUUUUACUGUCUUCUUCUUCUUCAGUCCGUACACAGGUUAUGUAUGCUGGCAUUUAGCGCUACCGUUGGUAAAAAUUAGUUGGAAUUGAUGGAAGGAAGCAUAAUUACAAAUACAACAGUUGAUAAUAACGAUGAUGAUGGUGAUCGGAUAUCAGAGCUUCCUGAUUUUGUUGCUCACCACAUACUCUCCUUUUUAUAUUUAUCACCGACAUCCCUAAUUCGAAUGAGUGUACAUGGUUUACUCUAACUGCCUCUUUCCCCAUUUUGCAUUUCGACUUUCGUCGACUACCAUGGGCUUGUUUUGAUCGCCAAUACGACAAGGAAAGAUUUUCCAAAUAUGUUGCGUAUACCGUGUCCAGAUUCCCACGACACCAAAAUGUCAUCAACUUUUACCUCUGUGCUGACCUCCAGGAUCCUGCACUUGCGGAUAUCAUUAACAGAUGCCUUCCAUUCAUUCUUAAACAAGGCUUGCAGAAGUUUGGUAUUGUUGAUAUUGGCGGUCCAUACCGAAACCGCUUCGAUUUGCCUGACAUACUCCUGUUCGUCUCUUCGUAAAAUUGUUUUUUGCCUUAUACCUUGAAGUAUGGUAAUGAUGACCUUAUAAGGUUUAAGUUGUUAAAGAUGUUGUAUCUUCGUGAAGUCUUUAUAAGUGAGGAAGGAUCAAGUGUUUGACCGCCUGUUGCCCUCUUCUUGAGAAAUUCACUGUUAAUGGUUGCAAUGGUUUCAAUCGACUUUGUGUUUAUGGGAUGCAAAAUCUUCGAAAAGUUGCGGUUUACUAUAACUGUUCACUUAAAGAAAUAAAUAUUCAAGCUCCAAACCUAACUGAUAUACUUUUAGCAGAUUAUUUUCAACAAUGUGCACCACCAUGUAUUAACUUGUUUUCUGCCAAAAAGUUGUCAAUGGUUUUCCGUGGAUGUUAUUCUCAACAGUUUGCCGUCUCCUUAUCCAACUUCCCGUUUCUUGAAACUUUAGUAUUGAAGAUUUCUCGUAACGACACAAAGUUGAAGUUGUCAAGUCACUCCUUGAGGACCUUAAGCCUAGAUGCACAAACUGCUUUGGAAGAAAUUGAAAUCGAUACCCCCAAUUUGCUAUAUUUUCGGUACUGUUUAGAUUGUUUUUAUGAGCAAGAUCCAAUAAGGAAUUCAGGCGAGUCAAAAGCAUGUAUGGAAUGUUACCGUGAACGUGUUUGUGACUCUAUCUGGUUCCAGCAGAUUAGGCAAUUUUUUAGACAUGAAAAUUGCAUUCAAAGUCUAGAAGUUGCAUCUUGAAACGAGUUGGAUAGAUGUCGAAGAACUUAAGUUGCUCCAGUGGCCACCUUUUGAACUUGAGCAUGUUGAGUUGAACCUGGGUUACAUUAAUAAAUUAUCAGACUAUGUACCUUUAUUGGAAGCUGUUCUUUGGUGUUGCCGUCCUCGAUCUUUAACUUUGAAUUCAUUCUACUUCGACAAUGAUCAUGAAAGGAAUGAAAUUGUUAAGUUUACAUAUGAGAAGCUGCUGCAACAAGAAGUUAAGAACAAAACUAAUAUUCAGAUUGUGUUAUCUACUGUCAAAGCCUGCGGACCGAAUGACUUGUUAAUUACCUUCUCUAAAGAGGAAGUUAGUCAUAAAGCAAGUCAAGAUUCUGCCAUUCAAAAAGAAAACAAGCUAGUCAAGAAGCAGGAUAAUUAAAUAGUCAAAAGGCUGGCAAAUAUGGAGGUGUAUUGGAUCAAGAAGUUUACUAGUUAGGACAGGAGUGAAGUACCAGGUAAGGAUCGCAUUUAUUGUGUUUUGGAGUACUCAAUUGCAGAAAUUGGUUAGAAAAAAAACCCUGUGAUGAUUUAUACAUCUGUGUUGAUGGUUUUGUAUUUGGAUUUCCAUUUUCAUCUUGUUUGAUUUGGUAUUUGUUUCAAGACUGAUUAUGCUA